rnacentral:rRNA from 1 species
UACGUAGGGGUGCAAGCGUUUGUCCGGAAUUAUUGGGCGUAAAGAGCUCGUAGGCGGUCUGUCGCGUCUGGUGUGAAAAACUCAAGGCUUAACCUUGGGCCUGCAUCGGGUACGGGCAGACUAGAGGUAUGCAGGGGGAGAACGGAAUUCCUGGUGUAGCGGUGAAAUGCGCAGAUAUCAGGAGGAACACCCGAGGCGAAGGCGGCUCUCUGGGACGUAACUGACGCUGAGAUGCGAAAGCGUGGGGAGCAAACAGG